GCAAUGCGAGAAAUCGUGACCAGGGAACUCCAAGUGCGUAGGGUAAGACCUACGCUUUUCUUGACUCUUCAAAGGUCUUGGAAUAAGGGUUGGGUAAGGACGGUGCCAGCCGCCGCGGUAAUACCGGCGCCUCAAGUGGUAGUCGCUUUUAUUGGGCCUAAAACGUCCGUAGCCGGUCUGGUGCAUUCGUGGGUAAAUCAACCCGCUCAACGGGUUGAAUUCUGCGAGCACGGCCAGACUUGGGACCGGGAGAGGUGUGGGGUACUCUCAGGGUAGGGGUAAAAUCCUGUCAUCCUGAGAGGACCACCUGUUGCGAAGGCGCCACACUAGAACGGAUCCGACGGUCAGGGACGAAACCUAGGGGCACGAACCGGAUUAGAUACCCGGGUAGUCCUAGGUGUAAACGCUGUGGACUUGAUGUUGGGGGCGCUCCGAGCGCUCUCAGUGUCGAAGCGAAGGUGAUAAGUCCACUGCCUGGGGAGUACGGUCGCAAGGCUGAAACUCAAAGGAAUGACGG
rnacentral:rRNA from 1 species